CGAGAAGACUGGUGGCAGUUAUGUAAAAUGGCUGAGGAAAGUCCGUACUCGCACUUACUGGAAUUGUAAGUAGUUUUAGUGCGAGGUCUAAUAAACCUCGGCGGAAAUCUUUGAUUUUCGACGGCUGAUGAAAUACCUAAGUGUUUUUUAAGCAUAUGGUAUCAAUCUAUAAAAGUGCUAUAGUGACGAAUGCUUGGGAAACCAAGCAAGUGAGACGUCGUAAACCCCGCUAGCGAGCAAUCCAAAUUCUUUAAAUUGGUAGGAGCACCAAAGAAAGAGAAAAAUAAUCUUAAUUGGUAAUUCUCACAAGGAAUUAAGACAGAUCACCGGUUAAAAACAGAAUACGGCUUAUUCUU
rnacentral:RNase_P_RNA from 1 species